GUGGUUGGCUCCGCAGGAGCCCCAGCAGCCAUCUCGGACCGCGAGGUGACCUUGGAAGGCGGAGGACGGACGAGGGGGAGCCUGCGGCCUGGCGGAGCUAGACGGAGAGGGCCCCACCUGCGCCCCGAACGCGUGGGCGGUGCCGAAACCGUGUGAACAGUCUCAUGCCCAGACUCGGCCGCAGCGUCCGCUUCCGGAGAGACCAUCCUGCAACAGAAGACGGGAUUCGAGGCUGCGUGACUCACCGGCGGUGAAGCAGGGGCUGAACUGGUGAAAUGGAAUACCCGCGUGGGUGAAGUAUCAGACAUUUCAUGCAUGGCGAACGGAGUAGCUAUAAGGAAGGAAAAGGGGAUUGCUUAGUGCCACCGAGUCUCUUAAGAGUGGUGGACAGCCAUGUACUCACCUGGCAGGGGAGAUACCAUGAUCAUGAAGGUGCUUUUCCCAGUGCGAGGCUUAUCCAUUGCACUCCGGAUGUGCUGACCUCUGCCGAUUUCCCCAAAGGUGGGAAACUCGACUGCAUAAUUUGUGGUAGUGGGGGACUACGUUCACGCUCUCCCCUGGUCUCUUUAAAAAAAAAAAAAAUGGUGGACAGCCGAAGGCAAGCAGCAAACAGUUGAAAGCCAGUGAGUCUGUCCCGUCGCAUGCAGAGAAGCUCAUUUACUGCAGCAGGACGAAGGCAAGAACCAGGCCCAGGAAUUAACAUCCCUGUUUGAACUCCAAAAAUAGCAACAUGCCCACACGAGGCAAUACUCUUCCACUAAGUUUGGAGCCCUGCUAGUGAAAAAUGAGGUGGGGCCCAUGGCUCACACGUGUAAUCCCAGCACUUUGGGAGGCAGAGGUGGGAGGAUUGCUUGAGUCCAGGGAGUUCAAGACGGGCUUGGGCAACAUGCAAAACCCCGUCUCUACUGAAAACACAAAAAAUUAGCCAGGCAUAGUGGAGGCCAUGGCUGUGGUCCCAGCUCCUCAGGAGGCUAAGGUGGGUGGAUCACCUGAGCUCUGGAAGUCGGGGCUGUAGUGAGCUAUGAUGUCACCAUUGCACUCCAGCCUGGGCAACAGGCGUGAGACCCUAUCUUUAAAAAAGAAACAGCAACAAACCCAUCAUAUGUGGGUUGGAGAUACCUGGGUAGAGGCCUUCAACGGUUUUGACUCCCCAAACUGCCUUAAACCUUUUUUAUUUUUUGGAGACAGUGUCUUAUUCUGUUGUCCAGGCUGGAAUAAAGUUGCUGAAUCAUGGCUCAUUGCAGCCUCAACUUCUGGGCUCAAACCAUCCUCCCACCUUAGCCUCCUAAGUAACUGGGACUACAUGCAUGUGUCAGCAUGCCUGGCUAAAUUUUUUAUUAUUUGUAGAGGCAGGGUCUUGCUAUGUUGCCCAGGCUUGUCUCAAACUCCUAGGCUCAAGUGAGCCAUCCCACCUGGCCUGCCUUGAACCUGAAGCCUACCAGGGUGGCUCACCUCUCCUAUUAACCUAGCACUCCUCCUCCUCCCUCCCACCACAUACUGCAUACUAGAUGGAUAAUUAUGGUGGUUUCUUUUGCAUUAUUCAGCUGGAAGCAAUGAGAUAGAAAAGAGACUUGCUCCCUCCCCCUCAAAAGAACUGUGUUACUAGUUUGCUAGGGCCUCAGUAACAAAUUGGGCAGACAUAUAUUGUCUCGGAGUUCUGGAUGGUAGAAGUCUGAGAUGAAGGUGUUCACAGGGUCGCUUUCUUCUGGGGCUGGGAGGGAGAAUCUGUCUCAGGCCUCUCUCCUAGCUUCUGGUGGUUUGCUGGCAGUCUUUGGUGUUCCUUGUCUUACAAGGCAUUGCCCCAGUCCUGCCUUGAUACUCACAUGUUGAUCUUGUGUGUGUGCCUGUCCAAAUGAAGGCAUAAAUUACAUUGACAAAGGUCAUUAGACAUGGGCCUCUUUUUUUUUUUGAGACAGAGUUUUGCUCGUUGCCCAGGCUGGAGUGCAAUGGCACCAUCUUGGCUCACCACAACCUCCACCUCCCAGGUUGAAGUGAUUCUCCUGCCUCAGCCUCCAGAGAAGCUGGGAUUACAGGCAUGCACCACCAUGCCCAGCUAGUUUUUUGUAUUUUUAGUAGAGAUGGGGUAUUUUCUUUGUUGGUCGGGCUGAUCUCAAACUCCUCAACCUCAGGUGAUCCACCUGCCUUGCUAGUGCUAGGAUUACAGGCGUGAGCCACCGUGCCUGGCCAUGGGCCUCUUUUUAUAAGGACAACAGCCUUACUGGAUUAAGGCCCACCCUAAUGAGCACAUCUUAACUUGUCUAUGAAGACACAUUUCCAAGUAAUGUCACAUUCACAGGUACGGGGGGUUAGGGCUUCAGCAUCUUUUGAAGGGGACACACUUCAGCCCAUAACAAGCUGUAACACACAGCCAGCAUGCCCUGAUGGGAGCUGGGAAAGUUUGGGGCUGGAUUAUGAGGGUGCUCAGUGAAGGGAGCUGGUAUGUAAACUUGCAUAGAUGUAUUUAUUGAAAUACGAGAUUUUACACCUUGGCCAAGACUGGGUGCAGACUUGCUUCAAGGUUGGCUCCUAGAAUGGCGGUCUAUCUAUUGCUACAUACGUACAUCACUCCACACUUAGUGGCUUAAAACAAGAAUCAUUUAUUAUCUCUAGGUUACUGUGGGUCAGACACAGUGUGGAUUGGUUGUCUCUGUUCCACAGUGUUGAGGCCUCAGCUAGAGCAGCUCAGAGGCUGGAGGCUGGAAUGAUGUGAUUUCAUCUGCUCGAAUGUCCGACAGCUGAUGCUGGAGAUUGGCUGCAGCCUAGAUUGGGCACACUCCUGCAUGCCACUCCCUGUGGCUGUGGCUUCCUCAUAAUACGGUGGCUGAUUCCAAGAGCAAUCUAAGGACAAAGGAAAGCUGUAUGUUUUGUGAACCAGCCUCAGAAGUUACAUAUCAUCACUUCUGCUACUUCCUAUUUGUUAGAAAUGAAAUCACUAAAUUGCCAUAUUCAAAGGUAGAGGAAUUAGGCUUCACCUUCUAAAGGGAAGAAUACAAAAAAAUUUGCUGAUGUGUUUUUAAAACACCAUACUUGGAAAAGGCCAUGGGCCAUGGGAGGAGGAUCACUUGAACCAGGGAGAUCCAGGUUGUGGUAAGCCGUGAUCAAGCCACUGCCCUCUCGCCUGGGAGACAGAGACCCUGUCUCAAUAAAAAAAACUCUGGAUAUGUGAGAACUUUGGGGUCCUUGCAAUAGGAGCCAGCAGGCCAACAGUGGAGUCACUGUCUUAGUAGUGGAGGAGGAAGUAGGGCUGCGGUUAGGUUCAUUUUACAGUGAAGAACAGGUAUGAAACCCAGGUGGUCAACAUGGGUGCAUCUUGGUACUCCUCUAGCCAACUGAUUAAGAAACUAGAGUCCGACUUGUACAUGUAAAGAGAGGGUCUGCCUCUUAGUUCCCAAACCCUGCAGUCUGGCUGUGAGGGAGUGAGCAUAAAAAUAUGUGCUACUGGUUUAAGGCAUGCACAUAAAACAUCACCCCAAACUUGUAAGAUGUGAUUUCCAAGCUGAUGGAGACAACAGCCUUCAUCUGGCCACUCCACCCUUCUGUCAGGGCAGUUGCUUCUGGCUGAUGAGGCCAGUGAAUCCUAAGUGUGUGUGAGGUCAUUUCCUGCACUUGUGUUAUUUUAAGAUAUACCUGCUGCUUUUUUUUUUUUUUUUUAAUGAGAUGGAAUCUCGCACGGUCACCCAGGCUGUAGCUCAGUGGUGCAAUCUUGGUGCAUUGCAAUCUCCGCCUCCUGGGUUCAAGUGAUUCUCCUGCCUCAGCCUCCCAAGUAGCUGGGACUACAGGCGUGUGACACCAAACCCAGCUAUUUUUUUAUUUUGGGAUUUUUAGUAGGGAUGUGGUUUCACCAUGUUGGCCAGGAUGGUCUUGAUCUCCUGACUUCGUGAUAUGCCCGCCUUGAUGUCCCAAAGUGCUGGGAUUAUAGGCGUUAGCCACUGUGCCUGGCUUUUUUUUUUUUUUUUUUUUUUUUUUUUUUUUUUUUAAUUUGAGAUGGAGUCUCACUCUGUUGCCCAGGCUGGAGUGCAGUGGUGCGAUCUCGGCUCACUGCAACGUCCACUUCCCAGGUUCAAGUGAUUCUCCUGCCUCAGCUUCCCAAGUAGCUGGGACUACAGGCAUGUGCCUCCAUGCCUGGCUAAUUUUUUGUAUUUUUAGUAGAGAUGGGGUCUCACCAUGUUAGCCAAGAUGGUCUUUAUCUCCUGACCUCAUGAUCCGCCUGCCUUGACCUCCCAAAGUGCUGGGAUUACAGGUGUGAGCCACUGUGCCCAGCCAAGAUAAUACCUGCUUUUAAGAGCCAAUGUUGUGCAGAACUACAGCAAUGGAUAAAGCAUGUGAGUCCAGUAAUAGUGACACUGGCAGAUAGCACUAAGGAGAGGGAAGCCCAUUUGUGACUGGGGUUUACGUCUUCCUGGAGGACAAAUCACUGCCUUCUUUUCCACAAUGGAUGGAACCAGGUUGCCAUGUGAAAGUCUCAGCACUGGCCUCUGCUGUUGGCAGUUCAGGCACUCAGAAGUGGCAGAAGCUGGGGAGUCUUGGUGAAGAGAAAUGUGUAUUUUUUUGUUGUCGUUUUUGAGACGGAGUUUCGCUCUUGUUACCCAGGCUGGAGUGCAAUGGCGCGAUCUCUGCCUCCUGGGUUUAGGCAAUUCUCCUGCCUCAGCCUCCUGAGUAGCUGGGAUUACAGGUGUGCACCACCAUGCCCAGCUAAUUUUUCGAUUUUUAGUAGAGACGGGGUUUCACCAUGUUGACCAGGAUGGUCUUGAUCUCUUGACCUCAUGAUCCACCCGCCUCAGCCUCCCAAAGUGCUGGGAUUACAGGCGUGAGCUACCACGCCUGGCCAGAAAUAUAUAUUGUUAAACCAGUGUUAAGCCUCCUUCCCUGCCACUGUUGCCACUUGUUAUACGAGCUCACUCAGCAUCAUGUUGGCUAAAGAAAGAGGCUGACAGACAUCCACAGGACAGGUCAUUUUGUCCACCAAAUUUCCUUUCUACAGUGGAUGGCCUCUGGUGGGCAUUUAUGUGGAACUGAUAUCUCCACUUUGCCCAUUCCCUGCAUACCUGUGCUCAAAACUCUUGUUUUAUCUUGACACAGGUUCUCAGCUCUGUCACCCAGACUGGAGUGGCAUGAUCAUGGCUUACUGCAGCCUUAACCUUCUGGGCUCACGCAAUCCUGCCUCAGCCUCUGAGUAGCUGAGACCACAGGGCCAUGCCACCAUGCCUAGCUAGUUUUUGUUCUUUACAGAGACAGGGUCUCACUAUGCCCAGGCUGGUCUUGAACUCCUGGACUUAAGUGAUCCUCCCGCCUCAGCCUCCCAAAGACAUGAACCACUGAGCCUGGCACUGGAGAUUUCCUUGAAACCAUCCUUUGCAAUCUUUUUCUGUUAUCAACCAGCUGCAGUCAGUGACCCGCUGCACAGGAAUGCUAGUAGAUAAGCCUCUUUCCAUAUAAGAUGGACAACCAGCUAUACCCUCCCAAGUUUUGCCAACUGGAAAUCUUCCAAAUUCCAAUCCUAAACUAGGAUGUAGGGUAGCAACUUUUUUUUUUUGACAGCGUCUCGCCCUGUUGCCAGGCUAGAGUAUAGUGGCACGAUCUUGGCUCACUGAAACCUCUGCUUCCUGGAUUCAAGCAAUUCCCCUGCCUCACCCUCCUGAGUAGCUGGGACUACAGGCAUGCACCACCAUGCCUAAUUUUUUGUCUUUUAGUAGAGACAGGGUUUCACCAUGUUGACCAGGAUGGUCUCGAUCUCCUGACCUCGUAAGCUACCCACUUUGGCCUCCCAAAGUGCUGGGAUUACAGGCGUGAGCCACUAGUGUAGCAACUGUUUAUGGUUCAUGCCAUCAUACCGUAUGGAUCCAUUGGUAAAACAAGCCUGCAUUUUUUCCUCUUCUGUCAGCUGUUCAUAGGAAGCAUCCUGUGAAAUCAAAGAUGUGGACUAAAGGAGAAUGUAAAGUAGCAAAGGUGGCAUCAGCCGGGCACGGUGGCUCACGCCUGUAAUCUCAGCACUUUGGGAGGCUGAGGUAGGCGGAUUACGAGGUCAGGGGUUUGAGACCAGCCUGACCAACAUGGUGAAACCUGGUCUCUACUUAAAAAUACAAAAAGUAGCCAGGGGUGGUGGUGCACACUUGUAAUCCCAGCUAGGAGGCUGAGGCAGGAGAAUUGCUUGAACCCGGGAGGCAGAGGUUGUGUGAGCUGAGAGCGUGCCAUUGCACUCCAGCCUGGGUGACAGAGCAAGACUCUGUCUCAAAAAAAAAAAAAAGGAAAGGUGGCAUCAUGAGUUUGAUCACUCACUUGGGUCACUUAUGCCUUCUGAAUCUGUUCAGGCAUAGUUUUGUGUCUACUAUUUCCAGUUUCAGUGGAAAGCUGCUGUUUAUGUCUAGUUUUAUGAUUUGUUUUAUAGGCUGUCUCCUCCUAUAGUAUGCCUUGUACUUUUGUGGGCUGUAUCGGGCUCAGAGCUUUGGUAUGGGCCUACAAGCAAUGAAGGUGGUAUUGUUGGGUUUUGGAAUCAGCAUCUCUCUGUGAGGCACUGUAUUUGUUCUCACACUGCUAUAAAGAAAUGCCUGAGGCCAGACAUGGUGGCUCAUGCCUGUAAUCCCAGCACUUAGGGAGGCCAAAACAGUGGGGGGGGGGCACCUGAGGUCAGGAGUUCAAGACCAGUCUGACCAAUAUGGUGAAACCCCACCUCUACUAAAAACGCAGAAAUCAGCCAGGCAUGGUGGCAUGCACCUGUAGUCCCAGCUGCUCAGGAAGCCGAUAGGAGAACUGCUUGAACCCAGGAGGCGCAGGUUGCAGUGAGCCAAGAUUGUGCCACGGCACUCCAGCCUGGGUGAUAGAGCAAGACUCCGUCUCAAAAACAAAAAAGAAAGAAAUGCCUGAGACUGGAUAAUUGAUAAAGAAAAGAGGUUUAUUUGGCUCACGGUUCUGCAGGCUGUACAGUAAGCAUGGUAGCUUCUCUUUUGGGGAGGCCUCAGGAAACUUGCUAUCACGGCAGAACACAAAGGGGGAGCAAGGCACUUCACAUGCCUGGAGUAGGAGGAAGAGAGAGGAUGGAGGUGCCACACACUUGAACAGCCAGAUGUCACGAGAACCCAUUCACUAUCACAGCACCCAGGUGCUAAAGCAUUCAUGAGAAGCUGCCUCCAUGAUCCAGUCACCUCCCACCGGGUCCCACCUCCAACACUGGGGAUUACAAUUCAACAUGAGAUUUAGGCAGAGACACAGAUCCAGACCAUAUCUGGUACCCAUCCCAGGUGCAAUCAUUAAAAGUUUCCUAUUCAGGCUCCCUUAUCCCUUUUUUCUCAAUACCAAUUAGCAAAGGUGAUCCAUUCCAUUUCAGCAGGUGCAGACGGCAAGACAUCUUCACUAUCUGAGGGUCUCUGCUCAGACGCAGUAUCAUUCGGAUUUGAGAGAGAGCUACAUUAAAGAGGUCAUAGUAAUCGGUUCUAGUGAACAGGAAGUAGUAAGUACCCUAGAUACCUUAGUAACAAAAGUGCUACAUGGUAGGAGAUAAAUCCCAUGAAAAACGGCACUUUGUAUGGGGUUGUCUGUGGAGUAUCCUGGUAUCUCCUCUGAAGUGAAAGGCUGUACCUUCCACUGCCUACCACUAAGAAAGGCACCAAGCUGGGCUUGUUUGGAUUUUGGAUUCGACACAUGCCAGUUUUGGGUGCGCUGCUCCAAUCCAUUAUUGAAACCUAGAGCCAGUUAGUUUUGUUUUUGUUUGUUUUUUUCAGUCUCGCUCUGUCGCCCAGGCUGGAGUGCAGUGGCACAAUCUCGGCUCACUGCAACCUAUGCCUCCUGGGUUCAAGCGAUUCUCCUGCCUCAGCCUCCCAAGCAGUUGGGAUUACAGGCACCGGCCACCAAACCUGGCUAAUUUUUUAUUUUUAGCAGAGACCGAGUUUCUCCAUGUUGGACCAGGCUGGUCUCAAACUCCUGACCUCAGGUGAUCCACAGCCUUGGCCUCCCAAAGCGCUGGGAUUACAGGCCUGAGCCACCAAGCCCAGCCUGAGGCUGUUUGUUUUAAGGGCAUCUGGACAAUAGAAGACCUGCGGCUUUGAUGCGAGCUGUCCUCCUGCUCAGGAUUUAUGACCUCCAAGUUUCAGUGAUGCUUAAAGGGUCUUUGCAAUUAAGGGUGCCUGGGUGGUACUCCAGGAUGAAGUUCCAUUAGGACAGCCCCCCAGAGGAUUUUGUUUUUGUUGAGACAGGGUCAGACUCUGUUGAGAGUGCAGUGGCACAAUCACGGCUCACAAUAGCAUCAACCUCUUGGGCUCAAGCAAUCCUCCCACCUCAGCCCCCUGAGUAGAGACUACAGAGGUGCAGCACCAUGCCCAGCCGGCUAAUUUCUUUUAUUUUUGUAGAGACAAGGUCUUACUAUGUUGUCCAGGCUGAUCUUGAACUCCUGGGCUCAAGACCCCCAAGGUUUUGAAGUAAAGCUUUGCUUUUGGCUAGCAACUCUUUCACCUUUUGAAAAGCAGUAUCUGAGGCUGGGCAUGGUGGCUCAUACCUGUAAUCGCAGCACUUUGGGAGGCCAAGGUGUGGUGGCAGGUGCCUGUAAUCCCAGCUACUCAAGAGGCUGAGGCAGGAGAAUUGUUUGAACCCACACAGCAGAGGUUGCCAUGAGCUGAGAUUGCACCACUCCACCCUGGGCUACAGAAAAGACUCCAUCUCAAGAAAAAAAAAAGAAGCAACAUCUGACUUGUUCCUGGGUCCUGGCAGAGAACAGACACCUGCGUGUGGGAUAUGCUGUUUGAAUGUGCACCCCAAAUUUCACGUUUUGGAAACUCCAUCUCCCCAGGUGGUAGUACAGAAGUAUUGAAAGGUGGGGCCAGCUGGGUGUGGUGGCUCACACCUGUAACCCCUGCAUUUUGAGACUCCAUUAAAAAAAAAAAGAAAGAAAAAGGUGGGGCCUUUAGGAGGUGAUUGGAUUGGCUGGAUGCAGUGGCUUACCACUCUAAUCCCAGCACUUUGGGAGGCUGAGGCAGGCAGAUCAAAAGGUCAAGAGAUCGAGACCAUUGUGACUAACACGGUGAAACCCUGUCUCUACUAAAGAUAUGAAAAAUUAGCCAGGUGUGAUGGUGUGCGUCUAUAAUCUCAGCUACUUGGGAGGCUGAGGAAGGAGAAUCACUUGAACCUGGGAGGCGGAGGUUGCACUGAAUGGAGAUGGCCUGGGCGACAGAGUGAGACUCCUCAAAAAGAAAAAGAAGUGACUGGAUCAUGAGUGGAUUAAUGAGUUAUUGUGGUAGUGGAGCCGGUGACUUUAUAGGAAGAGACCUAGGCUAACAUGUUCAGUGCCCUUGCCAUGUAUGCCACCUGGGACUCUGCAGUUUCCACCUGUACAAAGGCUUUCAUCAGUGUGUCCCUUGACCUUGGACUUUUGUUUUGAGACAAAAGAGUCUUGCUCUGUCACCCAGCCUGGAGUGCAGUGGUGUAAUCUCAGCUCACUGCAACCUCUGCCUCCCAGGUUUAAGGAAUUCUCCUGCCUUAGCCUCCCAAGUAGUUGGGACCACAGGCUUGCGUCACCAUGCCCAGCUAAUUUUUGUAUUUUUAGUAGAGACAGGAUUUCACCAUGUUGCCCAGGCUGGUCUCGAAUUCCUGAGCUCAAGUGAUCCACCCACCUUGGCCUCCCCAAGUGUUGGGAUUAUGGGUAUAAGCCACUGCGCCUGGCCAACCUUGGACUUCUAAGCCUCCCUAACUGUAAGAAAUAAGUUCGUUUUCUUUAUAAAUUACCUAGUUUCAGGUAUUCUGUUGUAAGGAACAGAAAAUGGACUAAAAUGGGAUAUACCUAUUAAUACGCAGUUCACACUGCCCAUCCUGCUGUGUGAUCACCAAGCCACCUGCUGUAGUAACCUAUCAGCCCUGGAGGUGCUGUGUCUGUGUGGUAUAAUAAACGUGGUUUUUGCCUCUGGCUCCCGGCAGAGCCCCUAAAAUC